UCACACGUACGCUAUUUUGGUAGAUCUUUGUAUUGAAACCAUGACGGGGUGUCUAACAUGCAUGUGUUUUUAUGUCUCCAGGUUUACGGAAUUCCAAUGUACAAUCCAAGGAAAAAUACAACUCCCACUUUUGGAGGACAGUAAGUAAACUAACAAACAGAUGAGAUUAAACACAGACGUGAUUUCUGAUUCAGUUUAUGUUUAACUUUGUAGGAAUGGGAAUGACUUUGGUUUGAUGGUUCAACCAGUGCCCCCAGUGCAGAGUUCCCAGUGAAGGCCCCAGUCUCACAGUGAGUUGUUUUAAUCCUCCAUGUAUUCCUUGUGACUGACUCUUGACCGUGCUCUUACAGUGUGUAUUUGUGAUUUGUUCCUUCAGAAAGGAGAAGAAGGUGACAGAGGAGCCACACAUUAAAAAGCCCCUCAAUGCUUUCAUGCACUUCCUGAAACAGAACAGGAAGUCUGCGGAGGCGGAGCUGGGCGUGAGGACAAGCGCUGUGGUGAACAAACACCUCGCUGAACGGGUAAGUUAGUUUGUUCCUCCAGGAAUCAUCUGUGAUCUUUAAACUCUGGUUUUGUGUGUGUGUGUGACUGAUGCUUUUCUACAGUGGAAAUCAUUGUCACCAGAGGACAAAGAACCAUAUGUUGGUAAGGCCAAUCUGGAUGCUAUCCUCCACUUCAUUGCGAACCCUGAAUGGAGUAACUCAAACAACUAUUGCAAAUAUGAGGAUUACGCCUGAAGCAGCUGAAGAAAAGCAUCCAGUGUUAAGUGUAUUAACAAACAUCUGUUCAUUUUUAAAACCUGGAAACGAGUGUCGGCACCUUUUCCCACAGCUUCGGUACCCGCGCGUCAUAGAUGCAGUUAAAUGUUUCCGCCAUGCUGGAUGACAUCACCACAAAGCCUUUGAUCCCCUUCUCCAGCUCCACCAGUGAUGAUCUACAUGCACACGCACGCACACGCACACACACACAGUUUAAACAUACAGUAGAUUAAUUACAUCACAUGUACAGCUCAGUAUGCUGUAUCUUAAAGAAGUUAAAACUUUGUUUUCAAUUUGAAAACAAAAUAAUGUAAUCUUUAACACAUUGAAUUUAAAUUCCUUUACAAAAAAUAAUCCAAUACAAAACAAAAGCAACUUUUUUGUACAAUAGUAACAUCCAUUUAACAAAAACUAUUUGCAUUUUUAUUUGUAUUUGUGUUUUUUUUUUACAGUUGUCCAG
rnacentral:lncRNA from 1 species